rnacentral:rRNA from 1 species
CAUGUAGGCGGCAUGACAAGUCUGGUGUGAAAUAUCUCGGCUCAACCGAGAAAACGCACUGGAAACUAUCAAGCUUGAGUAUCGGAGGGGAAGCUAGAAUUCCUGGUGUAGGGGUGAAAUCUGUAGAUAUCAGGAAGAAUACCGGUGGCGAAGGCGAGCUUCUGGCCAGAUACUGACGCUGAGAUGCGAAAGCGUGGGGAGCGAACAGGAUUAGAUACCCUGGUAGUCC